rnacentral:rRNA from 1 species
GAGGCUCCCAGCCAGACUACUGGGUUGAUAGGCCAGAUGUGGAAGCACGGCAACGUGUGCAGCUGACUGGUACUAAUAAGCCGACGACUUGAUAACAC